rnacentral:rRNA from 1 species
UGCAUAUCAAUUAACGGAGGAAAAGAAACCAACAGGGAUUGCCUUAGUAACGGCGAGUGAAGCGGCAAAAGCUCGAAUUUGAAAUCUGGCUCUUUCAGGGUCCGAGUUGUAAUUUGUAGAGGGGUUUCGGCGCAAGUCAUCGGUCUAAGUUUCUUGGAACAGGACGUCACAGAGGGUGAGAAUCCCGUAUGUGAUCGGUGACCCAAACCAUGUGGAACUUCUUCGACGAGUCGAGUUGUUUGGGAAUGCAGCUCUAAAUGGGAGGUAAAUUUCUUCUAAAGCUAAAUAUUGGCCAGAGACCGAUAGCGCACAAGUAGAGUGAUCGAAAGAUGAAAAGCACUUUGGAAAGAGAGUUAAAAAGUACGUGAAAAUGUUGAAAGGGAAGCGCUUGCGACCAGACUUGGGCGCAGGAGUUCCGCCGGUCUUUUGGCCGGUGUACUCUCCUGUGUACAGGCCAGCAUCAGUUCGAGCGACCGCAUAAAGGCCUUGGGGAUGUGGCUCCUCUCGGGGAGUGUUAUAGCCCUCGGCACAAUACGGCCAGCUUGGACUGAGGAAUUCGCGCUCGGCUAGGAUG